rnacentral:rRNA from 1 species
AGAGGUGGCAAGCGUUGUUCGGAAUUACUGGGCGUAAAGGGCGCGUAGGCGGCCUUCUAAGUCAGACGUGAAAUCCCCAGGCUUAACUUGGGAACUGCGUCUGAUACUGGAAGGCUUGAGUGCGGGAGAGGGAUGUGGAAUUCCAGGUGUAGCGGUGAAAUGCGUAGAUAUCUGGAGGAACACCGGUGGCGAAGGCGGCAUCCUGGACCGACACUGACGCUGAGGCGCGAAAGCCAGGGGAGCAAACGGGAUUAGAUACCCCGGUAGUCCUGGCCCUAAACGAUGAGUGCUUGGUGUGGCGGGUAUCGAUCCCUGCCGUGCCGAAGCUAACGCAUUAAGCACUCCGCCUGGGGAGUACGGUCGCAAGGCUGAA